UCUUCGAUGGUCUAGUGGUCAUGAUUUCCGCUUGUCAAAUGUUCACGAAGUGUUUACAAGCGCGGGAGACCGGGGUGUAUGUACUGCCUAUUCAGGAGUGUCUUCAGCUUUGCCUAAUCUUGCAAACAGUCGAUUCCCCGUCGGAGAG